rnacentral:rRNA from 1 species
GAUGAACGCUGGCGGCGUGCCUAAUACAUGCAAGUCGAGCGAACAGACGAGGAGCUUGCUCCUCUGACGUUAGCGGCGGAAGGGUGAGUAACACGUGGAUAACCUACCUAUAAGACUGGGAUAACUUCGGGAAACCGGAGCUAAUACCGGAUAAUAUAUUGAACCGCAUGGUUCAAUAGUGAAAGACGGUUUUGCUGUCACUGAUAGAUUGAUCCGCGCCGCAUUAGCUAGUUGGUAAGGUAACGGCUUACCAAGGCAACGAUGCGUAGCCGAUCUGAGAGGGUGAUCGGCCACACUGGAACUGAGACACGGUCCAGACUCCUACGGGAGGCAGCAGUAGGGAAUCUUCCGCAAUGGGCGAAAGCCUGACGGAGCAACGCCGCGUGCGUGAUGAAGGUCUUCGGAUCGUAAAACUCUGUUGUUCGGGAAGAACAGAUUUGUAAGUAACUAUGCACGUCUUGACGGUACCUAAUCAGAAAGCCACGGCUAACUACGUG